rnacentral:rRNA from 1 species
UUAGGGCUAGCCUCAAGGUGAGAGAUACGGAGGUAGAGCACUGAAUGUCCUAGGGGGUAUUGCACCUACCGAAGACUAUCAAACUCCGAAUGCCGUCAUCUUAUACUUGGGAGUCAGACUGUGGGUGAUAAGAUUCAUAGUCGAAAGGGCAACAGCCCAGAUCGUCAGCUAAGGUCCCUAAAUGUAAGUUAAGUGGUAAAGGAUGUGGGAUUGCACAGACAACCAGGAUGUUGGCUUAGAAGCAGCCACUCAUUCAAAGAGUGCGUAAUAGCUCACUGGUCGAGUGAUCCUGCGCCGAAGAUUUCCGGGGCUAAAACUUACUACCGAAGCUACGGCAUCAGUAAUGAUGGGUAGGGGAGCUUCCCAUACGGGUUGAAGCAUGACCGUAAGGACAUGUGGACAGUAUGGGAGUGAGAAUGUUGGCAUGAGUAGCGAGAUGUGGGUGAGAAUCCCACAGGCCGUAAACCCAAGGUUUCCAGGGGAAGGUUCGUCCGCCCUGGGUUAGUCGGGACCUAAGCUGAGGCCGAAAGGCGUAGGUGAUGGACAACAGGUUGAUAUUCCUGUACUACCGAUAACCGUUUGAGAGAAGGGAUGACACAGUAGGAUAAGCUAAGCACACUGUUGGUUAUGUGUGCCCAAGCAUUGAGGCAGUCAAAGUAGGCAAAUCCGCUUUGAUAAUGCUGGGAUGUGAUGGGGAGCGAAAUUUAGUAGCGAAGUAGCUGAUUUCACACUGUCAAGAAAAGUCUCUAUCGAGGUUAAAGGUACCCGUACCGCAAACCGACACAGGUGGGUGAGGAGAGUAUCCUAAGGCCAGCGAGAGAACUGUUGUUAAGGAACUCGGCAAAAUGACCCCGUAACUUAGGGAUAAGGGGUGCCACCAUCAGGUGGCCGCAGAGAAUAGGCCCAAGCGACUGUUUACCAAAAACAUAGGUUUCUGCUAAGUCGCAAGACGAUGUAUAGGAGCUGACGCCUGCCCGGUGCUGGAAGGUUAAGGGGAUCUGUUAGAGCAAUCGAAGCAGUGAACUUAAGCCCCAGUAAACGGCGGCCGUAACUAUAACGGUCCUAAGGUAGCGAAAUUCCUUGUCGGGUAAGUUCCGACCCGCACGAAAGGCGUAACGAUUUGGGCACUGUCUCAACAACAGACUCGGUGAAAUUGUAAUUCCGGUGAAGAUGCCGGAUACCUGCGACAGGACGGAAAGACCCCAUGGAGCUUUACUGUAGCUUGACAUUGGGUCUUGGUACUACAUGUACAGGAUAGGUGGGAGGCUUUGAAACCAGGACGCCAGUUUUGGCGGAGCCAUCCUUGGGAUACCACCCUUGUAGUACUGGGACUCUAACCAUAGGCCAUGAAUCUGGUCUUGGGACACUGUCAGG